ACGGGAGGCAGCAGUGGGGAAUAUUGCACAAUGGGGGAAACCCUGAUGCAGCGACGCCGCGUGAGUGAAGAAGUAUUUCGGUAUGUAAAGCUCUAUCAGCAGGGAAGAAAAUGACGGUACCUGACUAAGAAGCACCGGCUAAAUACGUGCCAGCAGCCGCGGUAAUACGUAUGGUGCAAGCGUUAUCCGGAUUUACUGGGUGUAAAGGGAGCGUAGACGGCGAGGCAAGUCUGAAGUGAAAUGCGGGGGCUCAACCCCUGAACUGCUUUGGAAACUGUUUUGCUAGAGUGCAGGAGAGGUAAGUGGAAUUCCUAGUGUAGCGGUGAAAUGCGUAGAUAUUAGGAGGAACACCGGCGGCGAAGGCGGCUUACUGGACUGUAACUGACGUUGAGGCUCGAAAGCGUGGGGAGCAGACAGGAUUAGAUACCCUGGUA
rnacentral:rRNA from 1 species